UACGAAGGGGGCUAGCGUUGCUCGGAAUGACUGGGCGUAAAGGGCGCGUAGGCGGCUUGCACCGUCAGAUGUGAAAUUCCUGGGCUUAACCUGGGGGCUGCAUUUGAUACGUGUGGGCUUGAGUGCGGAAGAGGGUCGUGGAAUUCCCAGUGUAGAGGUGAAAUUCGUAGAUAUUGGGAAGAACACCGGUGGCGAAGGCGGCGACCUGGUCCGUGACUGACGCUGAGGCGCGAAAGCGUGGGGAGCAAACGGG
rnacentral:rRNA from 1 species